GACAACAUCUCCGUGGGCGCCUCCGGUGCGCUCUUCGGACUUUCUUAUCGUGCUAAUUGCAAAGUGUUAGACUGAAUGACUUAAAUGGAGUGUCUGCUGCUGGUUGGCUGCCUGGAUGCUGCUGCUGCUACUGUCAAUUUACUCUGGAACGAUUUCUACCUUGACAGUGUAAGUACAUGCAUUGUUUGACUAUUUGCAGAAGCCUUUCUUCUAGGGCCUAAGACCUGAGCUUUCGUGCUGGCCCCCAAAUUUUUCUUAGGGACGACCCUGCAGCAAUGGAGGAGCAUUCUUCUUCUGCUCACAGUCUUCAACAAAGGCCCCCUCCACCGCCAUUGUCAGCGAGAGGUACAGGACUGCACAAUCAUUUGCGCACACCUUGUAGAAGAGAAAUCUGCACAUAGCAUCAACUGCCGUUACUUGAGAGUAUAACAUGCAAAGUUUAAAUAGAGGGCUACUGCAAAUAGCGACAGUAGCAUUUGCGUGCUAAGUUUGUGCUAAGUGGCUUAGCAUGAUGCCCCUCCAAUUACUAUAGUGCUGCUAUAGUGUCGAGACAGCAUGCUAUUCAAAACUUUAAUAAUAUGUCAUAUGCACCGUAUCCUAAAUUUAUAUCUCCACAAUCAUGUGAAAAUAAAUAAACACUACUAUCUAUUUAAAAGUUAAUUCUAUUGGGUAGGGAGGAGCAAUGAUUGCAGCUGGGUAUCAAUUUCAUACUUGUCAGUAAAGCUGCUGCCACUUGUAAGGCACAUGCAUGCUGCGUGUCUUGCCGCAGUUGCAGCCAUGCUAAUCUUUCCCUGUGUCUCCUAAAAAUGCAUGCAAGGACAAAAUUAUUAGAAAAUGGACGACCUCCAGGUAAUAUGUUAACUCAUAUUGCCACCUAGGAAAAGAUUAGAAUUAAAAUCCAACAGAUAUAUUGGAGAUGGAGACCAACUCUUACUAACCUUUCUUUGUUAUAAUUAUUGAGAAUCGCCUACAGAGAUAAGAAUUUGCACGUGGCAUCUUCUAAAAUAACCUACACACUGCACCACAACUACUGUAACUUAGUGAGUAUAUAUAAAAUAAUAUAUAGGAUUCAUCUGCAGCAAUAACAAUUUCCACACAACAUUCUGUAGAAACAAAUCUUCAAACAACAUUUGCUAUCGUUACUUGAGAGUAAAAGAUGGCACUGUAUCCUAAAUUCAGUUCGUUUAUCGCCCCUUCCAAGUAUAUGUUGUUACCUACUUAGCUCUAAAAUAGAAUCAUCCCCUGUUUCAACUAUUUAUUCUAGGAACCUCCCUUCUGAAUCAUUCUUUUACUAUGGCAAUGAAUUUUAUCUAUGUGAGAUUAGAAUUUGAGUGCCAUCAUUCGUCUCUUGUUAUCUUGUUCUCUGUGAUAACUGUUCAUUGUUGAGUGCUAUAUAUAUACUCUAGUUGUCUUGUUGUGCUUGUUGUUCCAUAUUUUGCUGAUGCACCGAUAGCUGUUAAGAACUGUAGUAGUGUAGUUAAUUUUUUGAAUGAUUUGGUGUGCAUGGAACAUUGAUUUUUCACUGUCCAAGUCAUGAUUUUUCUCAACUGGUGCAUGUAUAUAUUUGGGUGCUAGUCAAUUAGAGAAUGUCUGGGAUACCAUGUCUGUACUAUGUGCCAGUGUAGCUGUACUGAUGCUUUGGGUUUCAUCCGUGCAGCAGAGGACAAGGGCUUCAUGGCCAACCAAGGCGCAUAGUGCUCGCAAGCGACGAAUGGAGGUUGUUCGACAUAGACACGGAGGAGGAGGAGGACGGGCACGGACGGAGGAGGACAGAGCACCUCUCUUCUUCCAAGUUCUUCUCCUUACCUUCACUUCUUGUAUAGUUGUCUGUCAACGGUUAGUGCCAGCAGCAAAAUUCAGUUAUGCAGAAGCACCAUUUAGCAGCAGCAUAGAUAUAUAGCAUUCAUUUAGCGGCAAAAAAUUUCAGUUCAUUUUACUCACCGCUCUCUUUGGCAUUUACAGUCUUGGACUCUCUGACUGCUCCUCCUCUAGCCAAUGGUGAAGCGCCCGACGAGGCCAGCAGCAAGGCAACGCGGCGGGAUCGUUCUCCCAUGAUCGUCUGAGGCGCCUGCUCUGCUGCUCAAG
rnacentral:lncRNA from 1 species